GAUGAACGCUGGCGGCGUGCCUAAUACAUGCAAGUCGAGCGAACAGACGAGGAGCUUGCUCCUCUGACGUUAGCGGCGGACGGGUGAGUAACACGUGGAUAACCUACCUAUAAGACUGGGAUAACUUCGGGAAACCGGAGCUAAUACCGGAUAAUAUAUUUAACCGCAUGGUUCAAUAGUGAAAGACGGUUUUGCUGUCACUUAUAGAUGGAUCCGCGCCGCAUUAGCUAGUUGGUAAGGUAACGGCUUACCAAGGCAACGAUGCGUAGCCGACCUGAGAGGGUGAUCGGCCACACUGGAACUGAGGCACGGUCCAGACUCCUACGGGAGGCAGCAGUAGGGAAUCUUCCGCAAUGGGCGAAAGCCUGACGGAGCAACGCCGCGUGAGUGAUGAAGGUCUUCGGAUCGUAAAACUCUGUUAUUAGGGAAGAACAAAUGUGUAAGUAACUAUGCACGUCUUGACGGUACCUAAUCAGAAAGCCACGGCUAACUACGUG
rnacentral:rRNA from 1 species